rnacentral:misc_RNA from 1 species
UUGUUUCACUCAUGUUCUUCCUGGUAUCAUUUUUUUAUACAUAAAUCUUUGUAUCGUGUUUCCAACGCGCACUAUUUAACUUAAUUCUUUAACAUUUAUAAUUACUUUCUAAAAUGGAUUUGAUGUAUUGCGUUCCGCUCCUGAUACUAGGGAUCCUCUUUCAGCAGAUCGCUCCAGAAUGCCAAUACCCCAGUCAGCUUAAAGGCGAAUGGGUUACCAGUGAUCGUGGGAAAUGGACUUUUGUCAACGAAACAAUUGUACGAGGAAUUACAGUAGACAUGCCAGGUUUAAGGACAUUGGAUUUCUUCUGCAUAGACCAAGUCGGAUCAACGUAUCUACUACAGGCGGUGCAGUUUAUCAAUAUCUUUGAGAAAAUAACUCGAUUUUUCGCAUGCUGGAACGUUACGGAAAUAUCAGAAGAUGUUUUCAAAUAUUAUUCUGAAACAGAAUAUGAUGUUUUUUUGGCGGAAAAUAUUUUUGGCACAGUGGAUUAUAUAGCCACAUUAGAGGAGGCAUGUAACAGACGAACGAAGCCGACCUCAUCCAAGACGUUCAAUAUCAUUGCGAGAAAAACAAGUCUAGAAAGUGGAAUGGCUGCACGUAAAUGUUCCAUGGAUCUGCGUGACGUAUUUAAAAACGUCACUUUCAUGAGAAACGGCGCUGUGUGCGACAACGUAACUAUGGACGGAUAUAGGGAUGACCGAAAAUUGAUGUUUGCCUCCCAUUUGACCAUGAACGGUUGUUCAUCUGUAGUAUUAUCUGGAGAAUAUUCAUGCUUGUAUCAUGUGGAAUCAGAAGGAACGACAUUUGUAUCAGUUUGGCAUAACGAAUCCUACAGUUUCUCGUGUAUUGCAUAUCGAAAAGAAGGCGAUAUUAUCUACGCCACGUGGACGAUGAUGUUCUGUAGUGCCAAUUUGAGUGAAGAUGACCCAAAUUACUAUCGAAGAGAUACAAGUUUAGAAACAGAAAUAAUAUUUUCAGGAUCUGAAUAUGCAGGUAUGAUUUAUUUUGCAUUUUAAAUAAUGCAUACAGCUUCUGCAUGUAAACAUAUAUAAUUAUCUUUAAGACACAUUUAUGUAAUGUUCAUUUAGUGGAUGUCCAAUGAUUUCAGUGAUUUUAUAUAAAAAAUAUAUACAUUGAAUUUUUCGUAUUAUAUAAUUCCUGUCAUACCACUAUACAAAGUUUGUUUCCACAUAGUAGUAUAUGCAUGCAAUACAAUUACUUUCGCUUUAAUGAACAUUAUCUAUGUUGACAUAAAAUGCCGUUGUCAUUUUGUUUUAUAGAGUAUAUUGAUAUACAAUGGCGUACAGGCAUUGCUAUUUGAUAUCUUUUGAAAGUUGAUCUAUCAACCAAUGUCCAUAAGAUGUAUUCAAAUAUGGAUAUCACAUAAUUGUUUUACUAUGCUUUCGAUUUGUCAUGUGUAUUCCAUGUAUUGCAAUGGACACCUGUGUUAUGUUUGUCUAUAACAGUCUUGUUGUGUCAUGUAAAUGCUGUUGUGGUGUGUUGUUAUAUAGCGUCAUGUCAUGCGUUAUUGUUAAGUUGUCCAUCGUUCUAUUGUUAUAAUGUCUUUGUCGUGGCAUCAUAAGGUGUGCUAUUACUGUCUCUAUGAAUGAAAUGAAGUAUGUGUAUGAGUUGUAAUAAACUAUAUUCGUUUGAAAUAAUGUUAUAUUCAUUCCAACAUGAUUAUACAAUAAAUGUCUACAUUAUAUUAUUGGAAAUAUACAAAUUGUGUUUUCAAAUAUGUUUUACUUUGUAUUAUCCAUUUUGUAUCAACAUAACGUGUAUGGUUUUGCAUUACACUAUUGUUUUACUAAAACUAGUUUUAAACUACUGAAAUAUGAACUUUUCAAUAUUAUCAUUAUAUUCCAUUUGGUGUAUCAAUGAAUGCAUUUUACACCAACCUACCUUAACACAAGAUAUUCAGGAACAGUUUCCAGGAUGACGGAGUGACGCCAUGUACGUUUCCGGAAGGACUAAGAGGAGUAUGGAUAACAUCCGAUAGAGG